AAAAUCUUGGGUAUUAUGCUGUUGACUUCUAUAUGGUGUGAAAUUGACUAUAAUCAGGAUGUUGACGUUGGUCUACACUAAUAAAGGGAGCACAUAGACUUCGAAUAAACAAGCAAUUGUGAAAGCAUCUAAGUGAUAAUAAUAAAUGUAUUAGAUUUUCUUCUAUAAUGAGUAAAAUAUGGCUAAUCUUUGUAUAGUA
rnacentral:lncRNA from 1 species